GCUUGCUGGCCGUUGCUAUUGACAUUCUGCCCUUCCCUGAAAAAUGAAAUAGGGCAUUCUUGCCUGAAAAGGCAUUCGAUUGAAAUAUUUCUGAGUGAUUAGCAGAAUUUAAUUGCUCAUUGUUUUUUCAUAUUACUUUGUAUAUAAUGAUCUAGGUAGUUCUUUUUGUUUUUUGUUUUUCAGAGUAAACAAAUAGCUGUGUCAAAGACCUAGAUGAAUAGUUGAUGCUUGUCUUGUUGCAAGGACAGUACUUAAUGCUGCGCAAGUGUUCUCUCCUGUCGUCUCUUUCACACACAAAAACAACAAUAGCCAUCAAUAUUAAUAGAUACAAAAGGACGGCACUACUUACAAGAACACUACAACCAAUACUAUUAUUACCAAAGAUGACAACUAAUAGCCUAACGAAUACAAACUAGUACCACUACUAGUGAAACCAAAAUCAGCAUUAACACCACCACCAUCAUUAAAGUCGGUUCCUUGUAAGUUGACAGGGAAUUCGAUUGAUUUCUAUGUAAACCGCAAAAUAUUAUCAGAUGGAUGUGUACUAGAAUAUUACUGGUAUUCGUUUCCUACGACUGAUUUUUGAAUUGCGAUCACUGAAUUCAAGUAUCGAAGUAAGCCUAUACAAUAAAGCCACCCACUAUCAGUUCCUGUGACACAGUCAGCUUCCAUCAACACGCGAACAGCAGUUAAAACGAAACUAUAACGACAAUUGCAGUAAAUAUCAAAGACAACGACAAUUGCAGUAAAUAUCAAAGACAACAACAACAACACACAUACAUUAAAAAUUACAACAACAACAACACACAUACAGUAAAAAUUACAACAACAACAACAACAACAACAGAGCAACUACAAAAGCAACAAGCAUUGAACAACAGCUACCACGACUACAACAAAGGCAAUUAAUAAACAAUUAACGAAUAACGUCCGAUAAAGAAGGAAAAGAAAAAAAACAAUAGUACCGCCACCAGCAACAGAAAGACAAUAUCUUGUAAGGAAAUAUUUUUAAAUUUGUCAAUUUUUGUAUUGCUCUUUUAAACUUUUACAGUGUUAUAAAAACGAAUGGAAGGCAAGCUCAACGAAUGCCGACUUGUUGAGUAACAAGUUUGUUUUCAUACGUUGAUGUUUAGCCCUGGGUCAACCCUGAUAAAGGAAAUCUACGGUCAAAUACAUUUUCGUCUUGGUUAUCUUCUUCGGUAUUUCUCACAAAAGUCAAACUGAAAAUAGUUUUGUUUUAUCUAUUUGUUCAGCAAUUUCCGUGAAAAAAAAAAAAAAUUUCUUUAUUUCUUUUAAUUUUGUUUUUCAGCUGAACAGUCUAGUAUACAAUCGCACACAUAAACGUUUACUCAUAGUCGAGUUGAACAGUCAAAUACACGCCCACAUAUACCCUUUCACUUUUUUCAUAUGUAUAUACAUACACAUGCAUUGUUUUCUGUUUUCAUGAAUCGCUUACGUUUAUUUUGUUCUAUGUGUAAGUAUACAUGUAUGUAUGUGUAUGUAAGUAUAUUUAUUUAUGUGUUUAUGUGCUUGUAUAUAUAUACAUGCGGGAGUUAGCACAUAAAUGUGAAACAAGGUGGAAAAAAGAGUACUCAAAUACCAGAGGUUGAGUAAUAUGCUUUAUUUAAAAGCAGCGGAACUGUCCGAUGAACGGAAACGUGAAACUCCGAGUAACAAUUUUUGUUAAAUUUAUGCUGCUUUUAAAUUUAUAUAUAUAUAUAUAUAUAUACGGCAUAGUUUCGCCAUAUAUACAUACAUACAUAUAUAUAAGGUUGUCCCAAAAGUUCGUAGAAAGUCUUGGAAAAUAAUGGUCUUUAUUUUGAGGAAUAAUUUUUGUUGUUUUUGUUAGUACUUGGCGAGUAAAAAUUCAAUUUUCGCAAGUGUUUACGAACUUUUGGGACAACCUAAUAUAUACAUACAUAUAUAUAUACAUACAUAUAUAUACAUACACAUAUAUAUAUAUAUAUAUAUAUAUAUAUAUAUAUAUAUAUAUAUGCACACACAUACAUACAUUUGUCUAGGUUUUUGUGUGAGCUGAAAAAAAUAAGGAAAGAAAAAAAAAAUUUUUACGGAAAUUGUUGAACAAGUUGAUAAAACAACGAUUUUCAUUUUAACUUCCGUGAGAUUAUUUCUAAAGGAAUGCUUGUCCUUUUUAUCUAGACAUAUUUGGUGUAUCUAAGACUAUAUUAUUCAAUGUCCUUCUCUAUUCCAUUCACAUCUAGGUUAUUUUUACAGAAAAAUAUAAUAUUGAAUGGCUGAGCAGUGGAUUUUACAUGUUUGCGUGUGUCUUUAGUAUACAACAAUCCAUUGACUCAGUUUUAACUUCCUAGUACACAGGCUUUUGUGAGAGCUGUCGUUUUAUCGUAAUUUAAGAGUUUUACAAUUGCCUUUUUUGAAGGCCACAGAUUACUGUUAGAUACACCGUAAACACGAGUUUCAAGAAUGAAUGCUUUUUGACGCCAGUGUUUGUUGUCACUUAAAAUACUAGAUUUGGUUUUAUACGCCACAUCAUGUACCCACUAUUUUUUAUAAUCUAUUAUUGCACCCUAAUUAGCAGUUGCAAAGAAAGCUACUUUGGAUAACGAGAAUAAACUUGUGGUUUGUUGCGAGUGGGACUUCAUCAAUCCGCAGUUGAUGGAGGAAGGCCUGAAACUCUCUAGAUAAGUGCGUACGAUUUGUGGGGAAUUUGCUCAUUAUUGUAGUUUGAGUGAUCACGCUGCUUCUUCGUUAGCUCAAAUCAUUUUCAGUUUAUAUGGAAGAUAAUUUGAGCUACUUUCAAAUUCCGAUGUUUUUUCAAUAAGCGAAUCAGUUUGGACUGCAAUCCUCUUGGAGUGAAAUUGUUUUUACAAUUACAUACAGAGUCUAUAUCAAAUUAUUGUAUCAUUCGAAAUAUGUGGACUGUAUCUAUGUUGUCCAAGAUUAACCAUGCAAAGCUCAGACUGGACUUGGAAUUAUCAGUGCAAACGAAGCGGGGAAGGUCAUACAUUUCAUCACCAAAGUUGCAAAGAAAGCUACUUUGGAUAACGAGAAUAAACUUGUGGUUUGUUGCGACUGGGCUGCAAAAUGGGACUUGAUCAAUCUCCGGUUGGCUCAACUGGUCGAGGAGGGCUAAUGUUUAAAGGCCUGAAACCCUCUAGAGCAGUGGUUCUCAAACGUUUCAAAAGAUUUUACAGUUUUUUUUUUUUUUUGAUGAUUUGUGGUCCCCUAUAAAAUGCAGGAUAAUCAACAUGGAAAAAAAUGAUACACUCGUGUACCGUAAUUUCCGGACUAUGAACCGCACUGCCCAUAGACCUACAACCCUAAAAACCACAACUUAAUCCAGGCAGUACCCCAUUAGGAUACAAUAAAUGGAUAUGAAAAUAUGAGGAAUCGGUUGAUCAAUUAGUUAAAAAACAAAUGAGAAACGAAAAAUACCGACAGCACAUGCACGAUCAACCGUUAUACUCGCAUAUUUUCUAUCAGCCAAACAAGUGUGAUUAGCAAAUGUGUAGGUGUGGCGUGGGUUUUUGAGGCCAACGACAAAAAAAAAAGGUAAAAGGAUGAUAGCAUGCGAAAAAUUGAAAGUCUUGAAAGUUUUAAACCUGUUUCAAGCCAUCCCGUUUUCACGAUACUUCAUCGUCCCUUCACGGUCCCCUAGGGGUCCGCGAACUCCAGUUUGAGAACCACUACCCUUGAAGAACAUCGAUGCAACAUCCGUAUUCUGUAUCUAUGUUUGAAAUUAAUAUUGAAUCAAGUUUAUUUUGAGCUGAUUGGUUGAUUUCAAUGCGACAAUUCAUUUCGUUCUACAUAAGACUAUAUCCGGUUUGCGUGUGUAUUCCAGCGCUUUUUAACUUGUGUUGCGAAAUUAUACAAGUGUGUCGCGAAAUAAUCUGCGGUUAUUAUAUUUUUCUCUGAUAGUUCACGUUUGAUAAUUAUAAAUUAAACAUUAAUAAAUUUUGUGAACUUUACUUUGUGAGUUUCAACUCUCGCCGAAUGGAAUUAUAACAGGCACCACUGUUAACAAUUUUCGCGAUCACACAUCCUUAAUGCUGUAAUGGCAAGUGUUACUGCAUCCAUAGCUAAACGGAGCAAAAUAAUGUAAUUUUUUGAGACGUUCUCUGGAGUUAACUACAAAGAAGUUUUUGGCUUUGUUAGCUUCUAGCCUCACCGAAGCAUUAGAUUAUGUUCGGGUAAGUGCCCUGUUGUUCAAACACUUCAGUCUCGCAAUCAUUCACGGUUAAUGGCGUGAAUGUUUUUGAUUGUCUCAGAAUUCCUUUAGAGAGAGGAAUUCCAAUGUCCUCUGGUGCGAUGUAUAAUUGAGGGAAUGAGCAUGCCGUUUUAUUGUAUUUAUUUUUCUAAUUUUCACUCAUUUUUCUUCACUCCCUUUGCCAUUAACUGUUCAUUUUUAUAAAUUAUUUUUCUUUGUCAACGAAUUGUUUGUUCUUCAGAACUUUUGGGGGUUUAGGUCUGUGCCAAUGCUAGUCUCUCUCUCUCUCUCCCUUCCCUGUUUUUUCCUCCAUCUACGCUUGCUCCCCUUUGGUAGGCAACAUCAUCUCCUCUCCAACUUGGAUUAAUUCCAACAGAGAGAUGGAUGAAGCUCUGUUACAGUGGAGAGAGCUGGGUGUGUCAGUUCCUGUUACAGUUGAGAAUAGACGGAAGCAUAGAGUAUGAGACGAUCUGCGUCCAGGGGCCACUUUCAAUUCUCUCCUUGAUCAAUCUGAUCAAUUUUCAAGGUGUCGCGUGCUUUCUGCUAGUGCUAAAGUCUCAGGGGACUGGGCUGAUGCCCUGCCUAUGGCCAACAUUAGAGAUGAGCUCCGCAUCUCCAUCGCACUCAGAGUGGAAGCUGACGUCUGUAGGGGACUGAGAUGUCGCUGAGGUAGGCCCCUCGAUCCCACAGGUCUUCACGGUCUGUCUCACCGUCUAAAUGCUGGUCGUUUCGUUCUUCACACCGAGCUUAGUCAUUAAGCGAGCCCUGGCUCGAAUUAAUAUCCUCACAGUUCUGGAGCCAUCGGGAUUAUCCAGAAAUGACGGCAAGAGACCAGAUGGUCUUACUCUCUGUUCCUGAGCAAGAGGUAGGUGCCUAAUAUGGGGCGUCAUGGUCUGUGACUCUUUUACUUCCUCCCACAUCCUGAAUGCUGCGGUAAAUGGAAGGGUCACUGAACGAAACAAAACCCUGAAGUAUCGGGACCUGGCAGGGAACUAACUCUUCUAGCCAGUGGCGUUUGAGACGUUUGGAAGGGCUGGAACUCUAACGGUGAAGUUCGUGUCAUCGUUGGUGGCUCGCCCUACCAAGGUAUCAGGUGAUACCCGUGAGGUUGCUUGGCUUUUCCAACACCUUAGCCUUGCAAUCGCCUGUGGUAAUGCCUCGAGCAUGCUGGCUUGCUUCAGUAGGUCCCGUUGAACCUUGUGGUGUGAGACCAAUUGAAGCACUUGAUGCUGCAUUCAUGUUUUUCUUUCUUUCUUUUCUCCUUUUUUUUGUAAAAUAUAUUCCUUGUUUACUCUUGUACUUGUUUGUCAUUUGACUGUGGCCAUGCUGGAGCACUGCCUUUAGUCGAGUAAAUCGAUCCUAGGACUUAUUCUUUGUAAGCCUAGUACUUAUUCUAUCGGUCUCUUUUGCCAACCGCUAAGUUACGGGACGUAAACACACCACUAUCGGUUGUCAAGCAAUGUUGGGGGGACAAACAUAAACAUACACACACAGAUGCAUGUAUAUAUAUAUAUAUAUAUAUAUAUAUAUAUAUAUAUAUAUAUAUAUUUAUACAUAUAUACGACGGGUUUCUUUCAGUUUCCGUCUACCAAAUCCACUCACAAGGUUUUGGUCGGCCCGAGGCUAUAGUAGAAGACACUUGCCCUAGGAGCCACACAGAAAAAAAUGUAGUUAAAUACUCUCAAACGAAAUAAAUAUCUAUAAGAUUAUAGGAGAGGAAGUUGUAGGGGCGAUAUUUAAUACAUAUAUACAUCGGUGCAGGCGUGGCUGUGUGGCAAGAAGUUUGCUUCCCAACCACAUGGUUUACUCCCACUGCAUGGCACCUUAGGCAAGUGUUUUCUAAUAUGGCAUCUGGCCGACCAAAAAAACCUUGAGUGGAUUUGGUGGACGGAAACCGAGAGAAGCCUAUCACGCACGUACAUAUACACACACACACACACAUACACAUUGUGUUUGGGGAGAGUUGUAUUGUCUUAUUUCUUUAUUGCCCACAAGUGGCCAAACAUAGAGGGGACAAACAAGGACAGACAAAGGGAUUAAGUCGAUUACAUCAACUCCAGUGCAAAACUGGUACUUAAUUUAUCGUUCCCCGAAAGGAUGAAAGGCAAAGUCAACCUCGGCGGAAUUUGAACUCAGAACGUAGCGGCAGACGAAAUACCAAUUUCUUUACUACCCACAAGGGGCUAAACACAGAGAGGACAAACAAGGACAGACAAACGGAUUAAGUUGAAUAUAUCGGCUUCCAGUCCGUAACUGGUACUUAUUUAAUCGACCCCGAGAGGAUGAAAGGCAAAGUCGACCUCAGCGGAAUUUGAACUCAGAACAUAACGGCAGAUGAAAUACCUAUUUCUUUACUACCCACAAGGGGCUACACACAGAGGGGACAAACAAGGACAGACAAAUGGAUUAAGUCGAUUACAUCGACCCCAGUGCGUAACUGGUACUUAAUUUAUCGACCCCGAAAGGAUGAAAGGCAAAGUUGACCUCAGUGGAAUUUGAACUCAGAACGUAGCGGCAAACAAAAUACCUAUUUCUUUACUACCCACAAGGGGCUAAACACAGAGAGGACAAACAAGGCCAGACAUAAGUAUUAAGUCGAUUACAUUGACCCCAGUGCGUAACUGAUACUUAUUUAAUCGACCCCGAAAGGAUGAAAGGCAAAGUCGACCUCAGUGGAAUUUGAACUCAGAACCUAACAGCAGACGAAAUACGGCUACGCAUUUUGCCCGGCGUGCUGAAGUUUCUGGCAGCUCGCCACCUUCGUAUUGUCUUUAUUGCCUUAUUAUUUAGCAUACUCAUCGGUUAGAUUUCCACUUAUAUUUUAUCUUCCAAUAUUUUUGUUGCUUUUGCAACCUUGUCAAUGGAUAAAUGAUAAAUGAGUGGAAAUCGAACUGGUGCAACAUAAUUUGCUUCAACACACGAAUUCACUUAAAGAAUCUUGCAAAGUAGAUAUGAAAAUGAUGUGUGUCUCUUUGUGGUUGUCCUCCACAACCAGUGUUGAUAUUUUUACAUCCUCAUAACUUAGUGGUUCAGCCAAAUUGACCAAUAAAAAAUAAAGUACCCGGAUCUUUUCAGUUUGAACGGCAGUUUUUAACAUAAUUUCUAGGUAACUAAAAAAUUUUAAACUCCGUAUACUGGUAGAAUGUGUUUAUAAAACAUCUUUUUCUCUUGGCUUUAUUGAGAAAAUUCUAUAGUUUGUAAGGCUUUGGUUGACCCGAGGCUAUAGUUGAAGACACUUGCCCAAGGUGCUACGCAGUGGGACUGAAUCCAGAACCAUGUGGUUGGUAAGCAAGCUACUUACCACACAGCCACUCCUGCACCUUAAAAAAAAACCAAGGUAAUUUUCCAUCGGUGCACCAUUCAGAAAGUCUCGAGGGUCAUAGUUUUCCUCUGGCUGCUUUAAAAUCACACUUUUCUGUUAACUUUGCUCUUUGCAGACAUUGUAACAGCAAAGAACUUGAUAACUAUAACAGAUAUCUUAGAAUAAAAGUUUUACUUUGAAUGAAGGUGCUACUGAUUUUGCCAUGCUUUUUAAUCGAUCAGCUUUGUUAGUAAUUUUUUUAAACAUUUUAGAAAUUACUAUCACUAUGACCCGCCGUCUUAGUGCUAGUGCAUGCAUAUACAGCGCUCAUACACGCGAGUACUGUCCAAAUCUCCGACCAAUCACAUACAACUAGCUGGCAUUCAGUUGCCGUAUCAAGUUCCGGGUAUUUUGAUUGGGUUUUGGAUAAAGAAUUCACAAAAAAGUCACUUCUAUUGAUUUUUAAUGGCUUUGCGGGGUGGCUGGGGAAAUGUAAAGAUGUGCACGACCACCUUUGGACGGUUUUGAAUGACCAUAGAAAGUGCGAGCUCUCUAACUGAAAAAUUGUGGAUUUGUAUAAAGGACACACACACAGACAUUUUGCCGUUAAUAUAUAGGGAGAUAAUUAGACAAUGUUUUGUUUUAUGAUACUGAAGUCGAUUAAGAUCGAAAUGGUAGAAUUAAAGUAAAAUUAUGUUCAGUUGUACUGAAUUAAACUCAGCAAUGAAUUGAAACUGGAAAUAAUGUUUUUCCUUGAAUCUGAAAGUUUAUUUCGAAAUUGUUUAUGCAUGGAGGAAAUGCAUAAAAGGAGUUUGUCCUUUUCACAAGAAGCCCCUGUGAGAAUUGUAGAUGAUAUCCUUGGGGAGCUGACUGAAAAGAAUUGUCGCAUGGGAUAUUUGUAUUAAGCAUUGAAAGUGCCAUUUUCUUGUGUCGCUGAAAUUAAUUCAUAAUUCAGCAGUAUGCUGUAAUGAAGCGAUGUGUUUCAUGAGUCACCACACAUUACCUUGUGAAGAUUAUGCAUUGAUGGGGAGUAGUUAUAUGCUGUUGACAGUAUUAUCAUAUUUCUUAUAUUUUAAUUUAUAUUAUUACGGGAAAAAAAAAAGGGUAAAGUAAAUCAAAAACAUUUCACAAAAAUUCGGAUUUCACAAUUAUCAAUUUCUGACACCAAGUUUGCCUCUCAUUCCUUUUAAAAAAACAAUUCUUUCACUUUUAUUUCAAUGCCGAAUUUCUAGAAAAUUGUGACUUCUGCUGACUUUAGCAGUUUCACUUUCUGGAUCAUAAAACGAAACAUUGCUUCAGAUUAUUUUAACGCUGUUUAAUGUGACUGAGUUCAUGCUAAUGGUCAGGCUAAUAUGUAGUAUUUUAAAGCAAAAGACUUGAUCAUUGAUGCACGGAUUUUAUUUCGGUUUUUAUUUUAUCAUGUUCUCCAGUAUUUCAAAUUCUCUGUUUUUAAUCAUUGUUAAUGAAAGACAAAAUGGUUAGCACAAGUAUUAUCCUUGAGGUUGGAUUAUACUAUAAUUAAAUAUUCACAGCAGCUUGCGAUCUUGUCUGAAUAAACCUGAAGUUCGUCUGAUCAGCAUUUCAGAUAACUGGGUUUUGACUUCCCAAGUUCAAGUCUCUCUUUCAAUCCUUUUUUGUUUCUUGUUCCUCCUCCCACUUUCCUUCUUUCUCCUUCCCUUUUCUUUCUCCUACUCCUCCUCUUUCCCUCUUUUUCCUUUUCCAUACCCUCCUUCCUCUCUUUCUUACCUUCUUCCCAUCCUCACUCUUACUUUCCACCUUAUCUCCCUCUCUUUCGUUGCCCACCUCUCACUCAUGUAUCAAUACACAUCCAAUUUUCUCCCACUCUCUCUCUCUCUUACUCUACCACAUCUCUCCUGACUUCCUCUCUGCCCUUCUCUCUCAUUCUUUCUUUCUCUCUCUCUCUCUGAUUAUACAUCUUUCUCUUUCUUACAGCUCUUUUUUUUAUUCUCCUUUUCUCAUUUAUAACAUCUCUAUCUUUCACAUAACCCUCCAAUCCACCUCUCUCUCUCUCUCUCUCUCUCUCUUACACCCUGCUCCUUCCACUGUAUAUCUUGCUUUGGAUCUUUUCAUUUUGAACAGCAGUUUUUAACAUAAUUUCUAGGUAACUAAAAAAUUUUAAACUUCGUAUACUGGUAGAGAAUGUUGUUUAUAAAACAUCUUUUUCUCUUGGCUUUAUUGAGAAAAUUCUAUAGAUUGUAAGAUAUUUGUUGUUUUUUUUCUUCAAUUUCUGCAAUUUCAACCAAUCAGUGACGUCCAUUGAGGUAAAAAAAACAUUCUGUGCCAUAUGAAUAUGUCCCUUGUUUAAGAAACAGAUUGGGUUUAUUUACAUUUGUGAAGAAAAAAAAGAUACCCUUCCCCCCACCUCUAAUCCUAACCCUAAAACAGGUUGAAAUGCAAUAGAUCGAUACUAGGGUCGUAAUUAUGGGUGACAAUUUCAUAUGACACCGCUAGAAAAAACUGCCGUUCAAACCGAAAAGAUUCCUUGCCUUGGA
rnacentral:lncRNA from 1 species